GAGAUUGACGCAUGAACUGCUAAAUCAUUACACCGAACUGAAACACUCGGCCUUCUC
rnacentral:tRNA from 1 species